rnacentral:rRNA from 1 species
GUAGUCCACGCCCUAAACGAUGAGUACUAGUUAUCGGAAUACCUAAUUGUUUCGGUGACGUAGCUAACGCGUUAAGUACUCCGCCUGGGAAUUACGGUCGCAAGAUUAAAACUCAAAGGAAUUGACGGGGGCCCGCACAAGCGGUGGAGCAUGUGGUUUAAUUCGAUGCUACGCGAAAAACCUUACCUAGGCUUGACAUCCCGUGCUACCCAGUGAAAGCUGGGGUUCCCUUCGGGGACGCGGUGACAGGUGCUGCAUGGCUGUCGUCAGCUCGUGUUGUGAGAUGUUGGGUUAAGUCCCGCAACGAGCGCAACCCUCGCCUUUAGUUACCAUCAUUAAGUUGGGAACUCUAAAGGGACCGCUUGGCUAUAAGCCAGA